GAGUGGAGUAUAUGCGAGUGUGCGCGCGCCCGCGCGUGUAUAUUUAUAUAUAAAAUGUAUAAAUAUAUAGAUACAAAAUUGAAGAGGGUCAAGUGAGAGGAAAACAGAAUAUGCAAACCUUAGUUGUUCAAUCACUUUCAAAACAGUGAUGCUUUCACCAUACUGUUUCUGUUAGUGUGGUGGUAGAAGGAGUGGAGUAUAUGUGAGUGUGCGCGCGCGCCCGCGCUUGUAUAUUUAUAUAUAAAUAAAUAUAGAUACAAAAUUGCGGAAGGUCAAGUGAGAGGAGUCGUGGAGGGGCGGGGGAGGGGUUAGUAGGAGGGCCUAUUUCCGACACUGAGGUUUGAUGUCUGCCAAAGCACCGGAGCCCCUGGGGUUCGUCCGUUAGCUACAAUGGCUCCAUAUACAGAACAGACUCUUGUUAAUUACCCCUACUAAUGACUUAUUUACGCCACUGUUUCUUUUUUGCGCCGCGUGAGACGGUGAGAGCGUAAACAUUGACAAUUUAGGAUUUUUU
rnacentral:lncRNA from 1 species